UUAAGCGACUAAGCGUACACGGUGGAUGCCCUGGCAGUCAGAGGCGAUGAAGGACGUGCUAAUCUGCGAUAAGCGUCGGUAAGGUGAUAUGAACCGUUAUAACCGGCGAUUUCCGAAUGGGGAAACCCAGUGUGUUUCGACACACUAUCAUUAACUGAAUCCAUAGGUUAAUGAGGCGAACCGGGGGAACUGAAACAUCUAAGUACCCCGAGGAAAAGAAAUCAACCGAGAUUCCCCCAGUAGCGGCGAGCGAACGGGGAGGAGCCCAGAGCCUGAAUCAGUGUGUGUGUUAGUGGAAGCGUCUGGAAAGGCACGCGAUACAGGGUGACAGCCCCGUACACAAAAAUGCACAUGCUGUGAGCUCGAUGAGUAGGGCGGGACACGUGGUAUCCUGUCUGAAUAUGGGGGGACCAUCCUCCAAGGCUAAAUACUCCUGACUGACCGAUAGUGAACCAGUACCGUGAGGGAAAGGCGAAAAGAACCCCGGCGAGGGGAGUGAAAAAGAACCUGAAACCGUGUACGUACAAGCAGUGGGAGCCUCUUUUAUGGGGUGACUGCGUACCUUUUGUAUAAUGGGUCAGCGACUUAUAUUCUGUAGCAAGGUUAACCGAAUAGGGGAGCCGAAGGGAAACCGAGUCUUAACUGGGCGUUAAGUUGCAGGGUAUAGACCCGAAACCCGGUGAUCUAGCCAUGGGCAGGUUGAAGGUUGGGUAACACUAACUGGAGGACCGAACCGACUAAUGUUGAAAAAUUAGCGGAUGACUUGUGGCUGGGGGUGAAAGGCCAAUCAAACCGGGAGAUAGCUGGUUCUCCCCGAAAGCUAUUUAGGUAGCGCCUCGUGAAUUCAUCUCCGGGGGUAGAGCACUGUUUCGGCAAGGGGGUCAUCCCGACUUACCAACCCGAUGCAAACUGCGAAUACCGGAGAAUGUUAUCACGGGAGACACACGGCGGGUGCUAACGUCCGUCGUGAAGAGGGAAACAACCCAGACCGCCAGCUAAGGUCCCAAAGUCAUGGUUAAGUGGGAAACGAUGUGGGAAGGCCCAGACAGCCAGGAUGUUGGCUUAGAAGCAGCCAUCAUUUAAAGAAAGCGUAAUAGCUCACUGGUCGAGUCGGCCUGCGCGGAAGAUGUAACGGGGCUAAACCAUGCACCGAAGCUGCGGCAGCGACGCUUAUGCGUUGUUGGGUAGGGGAGCGUUCUGUAAGCCUGUGAAGGUGUGCUGUGAGGCAUGCUGGAGGUAUCAGAAGUGCGAAUGCUGACAUAAGUAACGAUAAAGCGGGUGAAAAGCCCGCUCGCCGGAAGACCAAGGGUUCCUGUCCAACGUUAAUCGGGGCAGGGUGAGUCGACCCCUAAGGCGAGGCCGAAAGGCGUAGUCGAUGGGAAACAGGUUAAUAUUCCUGUACUUGGUGUUACUGCGAAGGGGGGACGGAGAAGGCUAUGUUGGCCGGGCGACGGUUGUCCCGGUUUAAGCGUGUAGGCUGGUUUUCCAGGCAAAUCCGGAAAAUCAAGGCUGAGGCGUGAUGACGAGGCACUACGGUGCUGAAGCAACAAAUGCCCUGCUUCCAGGAAAAGCCUCUAAGCAUCAGGUAACAUCAAAUCGUACCCCAAACCGACACAGGUGGUCAGGUAGAGAAUACCAAGGCGCUUGAGAGAACUCGGGUGAAGGAACUAGGCAAAAUGGUGCCGUAACUUCGGGAGAAGGCACGCUGAUAUGUAGGUGAAGCGACUUGCUCGUGGAGCUGAAAUCAGUCGAAGAUACCAGCUGGCUGCAACUGUUUAUUAAAAACACAGCACUGUGCAAACACGAAAGUGGACGUAUACGGUGUGACGCCUGCCCGGUGCCGGAAGGUUAAUUGAUGGGGUCAGCGCAAGCGAAGCUCUUGAUCGAAGCCCCGGUAAACGGCGGCCGUAACUAUAACGGUCCUAAGGUAGCGAAAUUCCUUGUCGGGUAAGUUCCGACCUGCACGAAUGGCGUAAUGAUGGCCAGGCUGUCUCCACCCGAGACUCAGUGAAAUUGAACUCGCUGUGAAGAUGCAGUGUACCCGCGGCAAGACGGAAAGACCCCGUGAACCUUUACUAUAGCUUGACACUGAACAUUGAGCCUUGAUGUGUAGGAUAGGUGGGAGGCUUUGAAGUGUGGACGCCAGUCUGCAUGGAGCCGACCUUGAAAUACCACCCUUUAAUGUUUGAUGUUCUAACGUUGACCCGUAAUCCGGGUUGCGGACAGUGUCUGGUGGGUAGUUUGACUGGGGCGGUCUCCUCCUAAAGAGUAACGGAGGAGCACGAAGGUUGGCUAAUCCUGGUCGGACAUCAGGAGGUUAGUGCAAUGGCAUAAGCCAGCUUGACUGCGAGCGUGACGGCGCGAGCAGGUGCGAAAGCAGGUCAUAGUGAUCCGGUGGUUCUGAAUGGAAGGGCCAUCGCUCAACGGAUAAAAGGUACUCCGGGGAUAACAGGCUGAUACCGCCCAAGAGUUCAUAUCGACGGCGGUGUUUGGCACCUCGAUGUCGGCUCAUCACAUCCUGGGGCUGAAGUAGGUCCCAAGGGUAUGGCUGUUCGCCAUUUAAAGUGGUACGCGAGCUGGGUUUAGAACGUCGUGAGACAGUUCGGUCCCUAUCUGCCGUGGGCGCUGGAGAACUGAGGGGGGCUGCUCCUAGUACGAGAGGACCGGAGUGGACGCAUCACUGGUGUUCGGGUUGUCAUGCCAAUGGCACUGCCCGGUAGCUAAAUGCGGAAGAGAUAAGUGCUGAAAGCAUCUAAGCACGAAACUUGCCCCGAGAUGAGUUCUCCCUGACUCUUUAAGGGUCCUGAAGGAACGUUGAAGACGACGACGUUGAUAGGCCGGGUGUGUAAGCGCAGCGAUGCGUUGAGCUAACCGGUACUAAUGAACCGUGAGGCUUAACCUU
rnacentral:rRNA from 1 species